GCACCUUUGUAGUUGUAGCUUAACUGGAGUAGAAGUUCUUGAUAGUGAACUAAUGAUGGGAAGAAAGCAUUGUAACAAGUUUCUUUUCUUUAUUAAUUUAUGCUGUUGAAUAUAUCUUUUAAUGCAUUGCCAAAAACUACAAUGUCAUCAAAAAAAGUUAUUGGAUCUGCAUUUUCCAUGCUAGCAAAAACUAGCUACUUUAUAUUUAACGUUAGGCUUAGGGCAUGUGUACAAGCUCAAGAGUAAAAUUAAAAUUUAAUCCAGACAAACAUGCCACUCUCACGUACAAGAUCAUUAAUUGCCAACAUCAAUGGUUCAUCCACCACAUCGACAAAUGAUUCUUUUCUUCCUCGUAUCCCAGAAAAUAAUUCUAAUGUCAACUUGCCACCUAUUAAGAGCCAGACGAUUGGAGGAUUUAAGUCCGUUUAUCAAGAUACUAUACAAGUUCAACAGUUGUUUCAACCGCUUUCUGUUUCAAACAGGGCUCAAACGUUAACUAGCGACAGCAGCAAUGCAAGGACAUCAGUCACUCAACUACCUGAGGUCUGUCCUACAACAUACGCAGACACUAAAUUUAGUGGUACCAGUAAUAACAAGAGUGCGUCUUCAAAACCAAAGAUUCUUGUGGCUACUCCAGAACAGGUAAUGAAGUUAUAUAUGCAUAAACUAACUCCGUACGAACACCAUGAAAUUUUUAGCUAUCCUAAAAUUUAUUUUAUUGGUGCAAAUGCAAAAAAGAGGCAAGGGGCCAUUGGAACUUCCAAUAACUGUGGAUAUGAUGAUGAUCAGGGAUCAUACCUACAUGUACCUCAUGACCACAUAGCUUAUAGGUAUGAAAUGCUUAAAAUUAUUGGAAAAGGAAGUUUUGGUCAAGUUAUCAAAGCUUAUGAUCAUAAAGAUCAUCAACAAGUAGCUUUGAAAAUGGUUCGUAAUGAGAAACGUUUCCACCGACAGGCACAAGAAGAAAUUCGUAUACUGGACCAUUUAAAAAAACAAGACAAGGACAAUAAUCGUAAUAUAGUACAUAUGCUAGAAAAUUUCACAUUCCGAAAUCACACCUGUAUAACUUUUGAGUUACUUAGUAUUAACUUAUAUGAACUCAUUAAGAAAAAUAAAUUUCAAGGAUUUAGUUUGCAGCUUGUUCGAAAAUUUGCACAUUCUCUAUUGCAGUGUUUGGAUACCUUAUAUCGAAACAAAAUCAUACACUGUGACUUAAAACCAGAAAAUGUGUUGCUAAAACAGCAGGGGCGUAGUGGAAUAAAAGUGAUAGAUUUUGGUUCAAGUUGUUAUGAGCAUCAACGUGUGUAUACCUACAUCCAGUCCAGAUUUUACAGAGCACCAGAAGUGAUCCUAGGGGCUAAGUAUGGCAUGCCAAUAGAUAUGUGGAGUUUAGGAUGUAUUCUUGCUGAACUUUUAACAGGCUAUCCUCUUCUCCCAGGAGAAGAUGAAGGAGACCAACUUGCUUGUAUGAUUGAACUGCUUGGUAUGCCACCUCAAAAACUUCUGGACCAAUCAAAACGAUCAAAGAAUUUUAUCAGCUCUAAAGGUUAUCCUCGGUACUGUAGCACAACAGCGCUGCCUGAUGGCACAGUUGUAUUAAAUGGCGGUCGGUCUCGGAGAGGAAAGAUGCGUGGUCCACCUGGGAGUAAGGAAUGGGUGACAGCAUUAAAAGGAUCUGAUGAUCAUCUCUUCAUUGACUUCUUAAAACGGUGUUUAGAAUGGGAUCCAGUUUCAAGAAUGACACCAGCAACUGCUCUACGACAUGAAUGGCUUCGACGUCGUCUCUCAAAACCUCCACAAAUUCCUAUGGAUAAUGAAGCUGUUGAUAUACAGUCUUCUAACCAGACCAAUACUUUGGGAGGAAUUAAUAGAAGCAGCUUAAUCACACAUGUCAGUACUAUUGGUGCUACCAAAGCUCGGACAAUGGUGGCUACUAUUGGUGAUGAAAUUUCUGGUACUAUGGGUACCCAUAUCAAACUACCACAGAUUAGUAACACAGUGACUUGAUGAUAUCCUAUCUGUAGACUUAGUUCAUGAAAAAGAAUCUUCCAUGAGGCUUAUUACACUUGUAAGUUGAGGAUGCUGUGUUAAUAAAGAUACAGUUGAUGAAGCUGUACAGUCCCAUACUGUUACUGGAUACACAGAAGUGUGGUAUCUACAAUGCAGUUAUACAGUUUCUG
rnacentral:misc_RNA from 1 species